rnacentral:RNase_P_RNA from 1 species
AAACCGAACAAGGUGGUCGCUCCGCUGUUUUCAGGCAGACGGGGAGGAAAGUCCGAACAUCAGAGAGCAGAGAUCCCGGAAAAAUCCGGGGCUGCCUUUCCGGCAGACGGAUAGUGUCACAGAAAACAUACCGUCCCGCUUCGGCGGGAUAAGGGUGAAAAGGCGAGGUAAGAGCUCACCACUUUGUUCCUUCGGGAAUACCUUUAACGGGUACAGAAAUGCAAAGGUAGAUAAACCCAUCUCGAUGCAAGACCAAGUAAAGAAGGAAUCCCGCUUCGGCGGGUGCGCACAGCUCGGUGCGCGUUCCUUUAAGGAACACACUUCGGGGUAGGUCGCUCAAGCCGGCUGGCAACAGACGGUUCAGAUAAAUGACCAUCACCUGCUUGUCGGGUACAGAAUUCGGCUUAUUUGUUCGGUUUGGAU